UCCUUUUUUGGAACAGGUCUAGUACUCCAUCGUCUGUGUGCGUGGUCUGGAAAUAGAGAUCAUUUGGCUUUCACCUCUUUUCCUUAGCCAAAGUUCUAUGUUUCAAUUAGAGUGAUGGGCUAGCUAGGUUUCUUCUCUGGUUUCUCAUCUCUUCCUUAGCGAUAAUUUACGCGGGAUGAAUGAGAAACUUAGCGCUAAAUUUUGCCGUAAUUAGAGAUCGAUAAUUGAUCGUGCGAAGAAUGUUUCAUACUGCUAAAGGAAUUAUCAUUAAUCCCAAAAUUCCCCCCCCCCAACUUCAUCUUCCAAUCAAAAAAUCUACUCUUUCUAUCUCAAUUGCAGAUGCCCUAACUGCAAAGACCCAAAGACCUUUCAAUUUGUUCGAAGGUAUUUUUUUCUAACAACUUUGUUCCUCCUUAUUCCAUUACUUGCUAAAAUGAUUUAUAUAAUUAGUUUUAUUCUCAAUGAAAUUGGAGAGAAGGGAAGGAAUCUGAAUUUUUUAAUUAUGCUUUAACUUCUUUUAGGAUUAGUUUGUUGAUUUAGUACUUGGGAAUCUUAAUCUUUUUAAUUAUGCUCAUUUGGGUCUUCUUGCUUCUUUUGUUGAUUUGGGUAGCAAGAACUGAUAUAUAUUUAUUAGGAGUUUUGAUGUUUUAAUUCAAGUCUGCAUAUUCUCAUAAAUGGAAAAUCCAAUUUUCUGGCAAUUUAUUAAAACCUAUUAUGUAGUUGUUCGCACACAAAUAUUUGUUUUCUUUGUGAUUAGGCAUGAAGUUGCCAACGUUUUUAUAAGAUUCUCAAAAUAUAUGUCAAGUCUAUCUAAAUUGUGGUCAAAAGUUGGGCUCUACCCUAUGAUAUUUUGUUGUUAGUGGUUUAACUCAAAACUUAACCAUAACAUGGUAUGGUAAUAUUAUGAUUAAUGCACCCUUGACUUUUAGCUUAUGUUCAGACAUUAGGUUGUGAACAAAGCUACUUGUGUUAUUUAUGUCACAAUAAUGAUCCACAAAAAUUAAGUGGAAUAACCUCACAAUUUUUGAACAAACAACAAAGUGUAGCAAAUUCUGAGAUCUUUCCCCUUGAAAAUUGUUUCUUCCAUUCACUCCCAUUGUCCUAUAAUACACUUCCAGUAAUGAAAAUAAGAGAAACUCCUGCCAAUAUGAAUUUUUGCAUAUAGUCGGUUUAUCACGUCAUUAACAUCACAUGUUGAUAGGCAAACACGGAGUUGAUUUUAGUAAUUCUAAAGUUUUUUUGAUUUACAAUCUUUUAUUAUUUAUUAUGCUUGUAUUGCUUCUUAUAGAAAUUAACUGAAUAUGAAGUUCUUAAGUUUAAUUGUUCAAAUCAAAUUUUGGCUAACCACGCAUCUGUCAUCAAUAACCAUUUCAAAUAGUUUUAUUUAUUUUUAGAAUUUUUUUUGGUUGAAAAAUCAGUUCAGGCGCAGGCGGCAGAGUACUUGAAAAAUAAAACACUUGAGCAUAGUAUACAUCGUUCUCCAGUUUAUAAAGAAAGAUGAUGUUUUGGAAGCAUUUUAUUCGGAAAUGGGAUUAAGGAGCAUAAUAAAUGAAAAUUAUAAGAACACUGCAGCCUGCAAAAAUCACCUGCAACUCAAUGUUGAGGUGAGGUAUAUUCUACUUUCAUUUGUGCUCUUGGCAUAUACUAUUGGCUUACACGACUUACUUACUAAUGCAGGUACGGUCUUUCUAUGCCAUGUAUUGUACUGCUUGAAAUUGUAAACCGUUUGAUGCUGUAAGAGCUUCUCAUAGGGGGUUAAUACCUUGAAAACUAUUUUGAUGAUAAUACUAACUCGUAAAUUGUCUAUUGAAAUCUAUUUCUUUCCAAAAUAAUUAGAAGUUGCUCUCAUAAGCUUGGGCAUUCUUUAUAGAUGAUAUCCGUGACAGAUUUACGACCAAUUCAUUUAAUAAUUCCAUUUGUGGUACUCAUGCACAACAUUUUUUCUAGGAUAUCAAACUUAUGUAGUUGAAUGCUCAUCAUUUUACAAUACUACCAAUUCAUGAAUAAAUAAGGCCAUGUUUGUUUGUAAAAAAUGCUUGGGAUUGAACUAUUUGUCUUGAUUUAACAUUAUUACGAACUAUUUUAUUCAUGAUGGUAGAUUAAUAGUCAUUUAAAUAGUUAUAUAGACAAUUUUUUGUUAUUCCUAAAGCUAUUUAUGAGGGAUUAUAUGAAUGUGGGAUUAAUAAUCCCCCAUAAGCUAUCAAAUGACUUUAUGGGUCUAAUGGUUUCACUUUGAGAGAUUAAUAGUCCUUCGUCAAAGGAUAAAAUAGUCCGAAGUUGUGAUAAAUUAAGACAAAAUAGUUUAAUCUCAAGCAUACUUUUUGCAAACAAACAUAACCUAAAGAGUUAUAUGAAGUAUUCAGAUAUUUUGUAUUAUUUUCUAUUUGGAGAUGGCCCUGGAUUGGGCUUGUUAUUGAAUUUGGCGUUGUGUUGGGUCAGUAGUCAACUCUAUAUCACCCUGUUAAGGUAAUUUACAUUUCUACAUAUCAACAUACAUAGGUUGGCAGUAUCUCAUGUCCAGAUUUCAUUCCAGCACUGGGAACAAUAAACAUACAUGAAUUCUAGAAAUGUUACAUAUAUUUCCAUAGUGAACUUUACCUUAGUGGCACUAAUUCUCUUAGAUGAGCUAUACUAUAUUCUACUAAGUUAGAAAGGGUUUGCAGUAACUAUUAGUGUAUGCUCCUUUUCUCAUGCAAUCACAUGCCUAUUGCUUGUGCAGCUGUGUCUACUCUAUAGUUUUUUUCUUCCCAAAAGGUAAACAACUUUUGCAGUUUGAAAUUUGGAUAGUGCUCCCCUCAUUUGAAAUCUAGCGCCAUUCUUUUCUAGCAAUUGGACCCUAGGUAUACGUAAGUUCCUCUUCUAUCCCCUUGCAUCUAAUAUCCACAAUUUUAGAAUUGGAAAACCAUGCAUAUCCCAAAAAUCAAAUUUGCCUUAUCUCCACGCUUAUUUAAUGUUUGCAUUGGAGCUUGCAUACUUUAUUUCCUCUAAGACGGUGAAAGAUGUCUAUUUUUUCUCAUACUUUAUCCAUUUAACUUCAAAAACACUGGUGAAGCAUAUUAAACUAAGUUUACAAGGUUCUCAUCCAGAAUCUUAUCUCUUCUUCCUAGACCGUAGGGGUUUGAACUUGAAACUCAAAACUGAAAUAAAAGGUGAAAGUACGCAUUUUGUGAGGUAAUAAAUUUGAGAAAAUUCAACAGAGAGGUCCCAUUUUUUAUUAGUCUAAGAUAAAACAUAGACUUAGUUAAUAAGAUAAUUUUAUUUAAAAUCAUAACUCCCUCCUUUCUGAAAUUAGAGAUAUAUUCUGAUUUUAUGUCUGUUCUAAACUAGAGAUAUAUUUCUAUUUAUAUAUAGUGAUAGUAUGUUACUAAUUUGCCUUUUUUUAUUAUCAUAUCUAGCAUUACACAACCACCAUUAAAUUCUUAGCUAAUAUUUUAAAAUUCAAUCAUUUUAAAAAUAUAUCUCUAAUUUUGGAAUGAAAAUAUUAUCAAAUAAGCCAUGACAACUAGGGAAAGUAUGUUGUUUUUCUCGGAAUAAAAGAUUAGAAGUUUUUUGAACAAACAACAAAGUGCAGCCAAUUUUGAGAUCUUUCCCCUUGAAAAUUGUUUCUUCCAUUCAACUUUACUAGUUGGUUCAAGAUACUAAUCUUAAUACUUCACCAAUCAGGAACUCACCAUUCCAUUUUUGUUUGUGAGCUUUCCAUUGCUUGAUAUCUGUAAUGUGCUGAAAUAUAACAAAAUAUAUGGUCCAGGUAUGAGAAAGUACAUGUUGCUUGUUACAUAGUUAAUUUAGACAUAAUUGGUUUUUGAAAUUAAAAAAAAGAAAAAAGAAAAAAUUUCUUUGUUUAGUAUUCAUGUAUCUUAAGUACUUGAUUAAUACGAGUAACAAUUCUUUUUAUCUGUGAUUUAUGGCCUUAGAAAUCAUACAUGUCUAAUAUGAUCAGUAUAUCUUUUUUCUGAUUUUACAUUGUAUAUAUGUAUGCAUGUUUGGUACUGCAUUUCUUGUAUAUCUGGUAGUGUUCAACAUGGAUACAAAUACUCUAAAUAAACCUAUUCCUCCAUCUGAAACAAGUAUGACAAUAUUUAGCAUUUAGAAGGUUUUACCACUACUUCUUUUUCUUUUAUAGUUGCACAUAAUCCUCAAUCAUGGAUUAUAGACACUGGUAUUACUAACUACAUGUGUCACCAUAUUAGUCUCAUGCAUUACUUAAUCACUUUAUCUCAUUAUGUUUAUGUUUCCUUGUCCACAAAUGUACAAAUUAAGGUUAAUUAAGAAUGUUUUGUAGACUUAACUCUUGAUUUGACCAUUUAUAAUGUUUUUCUUGUUCCAGUAUUUCAUUAUAAUCUAGUUUUAGUUAGCAUGUUGACCCAGACUUCUAAGUGUCAAGCCUUGUUUCUUCACUUCGAAUGCCUAUUUCAGGACCUGAGCAUGAUGGCAAUUAUUGAAGUUAGUGAAGAGAAGGCAGGAUUAUAUGAACUACAUGCUCCUUCUUUCAAUAAAGAUGUUGCGCCUAAUCUUGUUUUCCUUGAAGUGGACCUAACAUGAUUUACAUUUCAUUCCUUCUAGCUCGUUGUUAUUUUUUCAGUUUUCUUAUGUUAGUUUUUAAAUAUUAUAAGUAUUAUGAUCCUUGGGAGAUCAAGAUACAAUAACAAAUUCUGUACUUAUUGUGACUUGAGCAUUAUUUAUUUAUAUAUGGAGUAUUAGUUUUAAUUUUUGGCUCUUUAAUGCAGUUUAUCAAUUAGUUUGAAACAAGUAU
rnacentral:lncRNA from 1 species